CCCACGCAAUGCAGAUUGGAAUAAUAUUAUUAGCAAAAUGUAUACAAGUUAAGUGCAUCGCAUAAGAACCAACUAGGUUCCCGAGUGAAACAGGCGCCUAUGCCCACUCGCAACGAUCAACAAAGGGCCACCUAGGCUCACGGAUGAAACAGGCGCCUAUGCCCAUCCGCAACG